CUCUCUGUAGCAUAAAGGUCUAUGCAUUUGUUUCAUACGCAAAAAAUCUGAGUUCGAUUCUCGGCGGAGAGU
rnacentral:tRNA from 1 species